AGACCCGAAACCCGGUGAUCUAGCCAUGGGCAGGUUGAAGGUUGGGUAACACUAACUGGAGGACCGAACCGACUAAUGUUGAAAAAUUAGCGGAUGACCUGUGGCUGGGGGUGAAAGGCCAAUCAAACCGGGAGAUAGCUGGUUCUCCCCGAAAGCUAUUUAGGUAGCGCCUCGUGAAUUCAUCUCCGGGGGUAGAGCACUGUUUCGGCUAGGGGGCCAUCCCGGCUUACCAACCCGAUGCAAACUGCGAAUACCGGAGAAUGUUAUCACGGGAGACACACGGCGGGUGCUAACGUCCGUCGUGAAGAGGGAAACAACCCAGACCGCCAGCUAAGGUCCCAAAGUCAUGGUUAAGUGGGAAACGAUGUGGGAAGGCCCAGACAGCCAGGAUGUUGGCUUAGAAGCAGCCAUCAUUUAAAGAAAGCGUAAUAGCUCACUGGUCGAGUCGGCCUGCGCGGAAGAUGUAACGGGGCUAAACCAUGCACCGAAGCUGCGGCAGCGAACGUAUCACCCAAGACAACUUUACGGAGUUGACGAUUGACGGAGCGAAGCGACGUCAAAGCGUUCAUUAAAGUCGAGUUGGCUUAGGGAUACGUUCGUUGGGUAGGGGAGCGUUCUGUAAGCCUGUGAAGGUGUGUCGUGAGGCAUGCUGGAGGUAUCAGAAGUGCGAAUGCUGACAUAAGUAACGAUAAAGCGGGUGAAAAGCCCGCUCGCCGGAAGACCAAGGGUUCCUGUCCAACGUUAAUCGGGGCAGGGUGAGUCGACCCCUAAGGCGAGGCCGAAAGGCGUAGUCGAUGGGAAACGGGUUAAUAUUCCCGUACUUGGUGUUACUGCGAAGGGGGGACGGAGAAGGCUAUGUUGGCCGGGCGACGGUUGUCCCGGUUUAAGCGUGUAGGUGUGUGUUCCAGGUAAAUCCGGUUCACUUUAACACUGAGGCGUGACGACGAGGCACUACGGUGCUGAAGCAACAAAUGCCCUGCUUCCAGGAAAAGCCUCUAAGCAUCAGGUAACACGAAAUCGUACCCCAAACCGACACAGGUGGUCAGGUAGAGAAUACCAAGGCGCUUGAGAGAACUCGGGUGAAGGAACUAGGCAAAAUGGUGCCGUAA
rnacentral:rRNA from 2 species